AAUGCUGAUCGCUUUCAAUAGAAUGGCUCCAGUGCGAACAGUGAAAUAAUUUAUAAAUCAUGCCGCGAGAGGUACGGAUAUGGGCAAAUAGGUGCCGGAACAAAUAAAGUCAAAUCUGAGAGGUGCAGGAUCCUGCUCAAAUUAAGCACUGCUCAUCUCUCUCUCACACUCUCUGUCUCUUAUCUGUAUCUUCUCUCGGUCUCACAUCUGUUUCUUAUCUGUAUCUUCUCUCGGUCUCACAUCUGUCUCAUAUCUGUAUCUUCUCUCUGUCUCAUAUCUGCAGGGCUGCCAACAUGCACGCAUUUCGCGUACCAACUACGCAAUUCUCUGUCCAUAUAUGCAGGUACGAGAUCCGAGUUAAAAGCACGCAGAAAUGAAUAGGGCCUGCUUUUUUGUGUUUUUUUAAACAUUUUAAUAAAAAAUAAAUCCACUGAGUAAAUCUAACAUCCCGAUUCUCGAGCUGCAACACACAGACAUGUACGGAGUUUGUGUCAACGGACAUGGAAAUUAAUACAUCAUUAUUCGACGUAGCUACCUGGUGUUUGUUGUGAUGCUGAGUUUACCGACUGUCAGCUGUACGUCAACACAUGGGCAAAUCCCUUUUCGACUCCGUCUGUUGUGGAAAGUGAGCUGAGCAGAUCAUUGCAGAUGUGUCCCAGGAUCCAACGCUACCUCAGACAGAGGAUCACCCCUGCCCAAAGUGAGAGUGGCCAACACAAACACACUCAAACAAAUCCUCGUUCUCCAUCUCCCUCCUCUAGCUCUCUGAAACCAGGCAAUUUCUCCACACUUUUUCUAUUCACGAACUAUCUAUAUAAUUUCAAAAUAAUGUCAGCUGACAAGGUAAAAAUCUGUCAUUCUGCCCCUGAACAAGGCAGUUAACCCACUGUUCCCCGGGCGCCGAAGACGUGGAUGUCGAUUAUGGCAGCCCCCGCACCUCUCUGAUUAAGAGGGGUUGGGUUAAAUGCGGAAGAUACAUUUCAUGUGAAUGCAUUCAGUUGUACAAUUGACUAGGUAUCUCCCUUCCAGAUAAAUCUAAAAUAUUGAUCUCUUUCCUCUAUUCUCAAGUGCGGCCACAAGGUGGCAGUGUUUUUCCAGUCACACAGUAUGAAGGCUGAGGAUGCCAUGAGGCUGUACUAUGUCUGCGUAGCCCCUCACUGUGGACACCACUGGACAGAGUGAGGAGGAUGAAGAGGAGGUCUGAUGUAUGCAUCCACAGUCACUGCUGUUGCCCAACAGGCCACCAUGUCUCACUGGGGUUCACUGUUGCUUAAAUCAGAAAGACUGGUGGUUGUUUGGGCCUAAAAUAGUCUGCCAAAUCAGAAACUUUUACAGGAAUACCAGCUUUGUGUGUUAGAUCUUCAUCAUCUUGUUGGAGUGUACGUAGAGGAACUGCUAAGAUUUGUAUGGACCAUUUAAAUGCCAUUUCUUACCAUGUUGUGGAGGAACACCUGCUGGGACAUAAUUGUGUUAAUGUAUUAGCUCUAGUACUUUUUACAUUUCUUUGAAAUUAAAAAAGACAAACUUUUGUUGUGAAAUGCUUCUGUUUUAUUUCAAAAACUUGAUUGAAAGACUUCUCUAAGACUUUGCAUGCCACUGUUGUGUAUUUGAAAUGUUUCCUAAAUUUCCAUUGUUACACUAUCGCGUGACCAGAUCUCUGUUGCAAU